UACAGAGGUCUCAAGCGUUGUUCGGAUUCAUUGGGCGUAAAGGGUGCGUAGGCGGCGGGGCAAGUCGGAUGUGAAAUCUCAGGGCUCAACCCUGAAACUGCAUUCGAUACUGCCUUGCUCGAGGACUGGAGAGGAGAUUGGAAUUCACGGUGUAGCAGUGAAAUGCGUAGAGAUCGGGAGGAACACCAGAGGCGAAGGCGGCGACCUGGACAAGUACUGACACUCAACUACGAAAGCGUGGGGAGCAAACAGG
rnacentral:rRNA from 1 species